ACCCACUUGGACUGUAAGGGUCUCUGACUUCCCCACUUCUCUAAUUUGCAAAGGAAAGGCCUGACAUCUGUCAUAGGAUGUGUCCAGCAGGUAGAAAGUUGCAAUCAUCAACCAUCAGUAUGAAGGAAAAGGCUGAAGUCCAUUGCCUUUCUGGUCAAUAAACUAUCUAAAGGCUGGUAUAUGCUGAAAAGCUAUGUUGGCAUAGCCACAUCUCUCAGGGAUGUGAAAAGUCCUCUCCACUGAGAGAAGUAGUUAAUGUGACCUGAGCCUCAGUGUAGACAGUUUUAGGUUGUCAGAAGAAUAUUUCCAGUGUUUGAAGUGUAGACAGAGCCUUAGACAGAUUGAUCACCUCUGGGAAGUGAGUCAUGACAUCAGUUCCAAUUUUGACCCAUCUCCCUGUAUGUGAGAAAGUUUCUAGUAUGGAGGACUGAGCCAGCUGUCUGAUCACCUGGUUCCUCAACUGUAGCUACAGCUCUUAGUGCCCAUCAAUCCAAAGACUGAGAGAAAUGGAGAGUUCCAACCAUUGUCAUUUUAGUAUCUUAUUGUUCUUCUCUCUGUUUUUUGUGCUGGCCUUUUCAUUCUAUCAAGGUGUGACUGGGAUAUCCUGGAGCAGAGUUCCCAACCUUUUUCUUUCUAAGGCCCCCGCCCAGCAUGGUAUAAAAACUCUACAGCCCACCUGUGCCACAACAACUGUUUUUCUGCAUGUUCAGUAGAUUAAAAGCCAGGGCUGUCGUUAGGGGGUAGCCAGCAGAGCAAUUGUGCAGGGCCCCACAACACAGGGGCUCCCAUGAAGUAAAGUUGCUUUGGCUUCAGUUGCAGGCAGGAGGGCUCCGAUUUCAGGUUUCUGACGUGAACCCCAUAAUCAGAUAGUUAAG